rnacentral:misc_RNA from 1 species
AAGGAUCAUUACCAAUCCAAAAAACCCCCCCCACACUAUGUGCACCCGCGCAGGGAGCUUCAGGGCUCUCUGUGCGAGAAGAUGCGUAAAUUUCUCUUCCUUUUCUUUUCUUUUGAAAGAAAAGAGAGUGGGUACGCUCUUCGAAUACCCUUUUUUUACCCCAAAUUUUUAACCCCCUUUUUUUUUUAAUAAAAAAAAGCUUUCGUAAGAAAGUUUUAAUUUUUUAAAGAAAAAAAUUGUUAAAAAAAGAAACACAAAAAAAACUUACAACGAAGAACAACUUUUAACGGUGGAUCUCUAGGCUCGU